rnacentral:rRNA from 1 species
ACAGGUGGUGCAUGGCUGUCGUCAGCUCGUGUCGUGACGAUGUUGGGUUAAGUCCCGCAACGAGCGCAACCCUUAUCCUGUGUUGCCAGCAUUCAGUUGGGACUCGCAGGAGACUGCCGGGGUCGAACUCGGAGGAAGGUGGGGAAUGAGGUCAAGUCAUCAUGCCCCUUAUGCCCAGGGCCGCAAACACGCUACAAUGGCCGGUACAGAGGGCUGCAAUCCCGCGAGGGUGAGACCGAAUCCCACAAAGCCGGUCUCAGUUCGGAUUGGAGUCUGCAACUCGACUCCAUGAAGCCGGAGUUGCUAGUAAUCCCGGAUCAGCACGCCGGGGUGAAUACGUUCCCGGGCCUU